rnacentral:lncRNA from 1 species
AUCACCCUGCAGUGCUUUUCUCUUCUCCCCCUCCCCGUGCCCAGUCCCACACCUGAUGUCUCUGUCCCUCCCCAGUCCUACCGCCCUUAGUGUUAUCAGUGCAGCCUUGGUGCAGGGGAUGAGCCAACAUUUCUGCCACUUUCCUAGAUGGAGUAAUGGGCCCUGGCUCCCUUGGUCUCAUCCAGAGCUGGACAUGUAUCCACGUUACAAAGGCACUGAUAUCUGGAUUCCCAUUGGGCUCAAACCAAAUGGUCUCCAAGAGCUGCUCAUCUCCUCUUGUAGGCUGGGCCCAUUUCCAAGGACCUAAUUUAAAAGAGGCUGCAGUUCAGCGGCAGGAGGGAUUUAAACACUGUUAAGACUGACAUUUUCCCUCAUCUCACAUCCCGUGGGGUACCUGAUUGCAAAUUUAUAAUACACCAGAGGUCUCGCCAUCAGAAGAUACAGACUUACAGUAACAGCAACUAAUUUAAAAAAGAUCUCCAGUGCAUCAGUGUCUGGGGCUGGUUUACACCGACUAAUUAAUCCUUAUUUGACCUGAAUUAACUCUUAAUCUGUGUGAAAUGAAAGAGCUUUGCUGGGAUACAGCAAAUUUUAGAAGAUGGAAAAUCUGUUCAGAGCAGGAGGCUUCUGCAGCCGAGUGACUCGUGGAUUAAAACGCUUCUGGAUGCUGCUUGGGG